AGCCCUAUAGUCUAGCGGUCAAGGACACGGGACUCUGGCUCCCGUAACCCAGGUUCGAAUCCUGGUAGGGCUA
rnacentral:tRNA from 1 species